CCCGGGGGGAACGCAUAUCUG
rnacentral:miRNA from 1 species